GACGAACGCUGGCGGCGUGCUUAACACAUGCAAGUCGAACGGAAAGGCCCUGCUUUUGUGUUGUGCUCGAGUGGCGAAUGUGUGAGUACCACGUGAUUAACCUGCCCUUGACUUUGGGAUAACUUCAGGAAACUGGGGCUAAUACCGGAUAGGAGCUCCUGCUUCAUGGUGGGGGUUGGAAAGUUUCGGCGGUUGGGGAUGGACUCGCGGCUUAUCAGCUUGCUGUUGGGGUAGUGGCUUACCAAGGCUUUGACGGGUAGCCGGCCUGAGAGGGUGACAGGCCACAUUGGGACUGAGAUACGGCCCAGACUCAUACGGGAGGCAGCAGAGGGGAAUAGAGCACAAUGGGAGGAAGCAUGAUGCAGCAACGCCGCGUGGGGGAUGACGGGCUGCAGGUUGGAAACCGCUGUCGCAUGUGAAGAAGAGUGAGUGACGGUAAUGGGUAAAGAAGCACCGGCUAACUACGUG
rnacentral:rRNA from 1 species